CCCUAUGGGGCGCGGGGGACGCUCUUCACCACCAAGACUGGGGAGAUUUCCAUCCGGCUGGAGUCGUUUGUGAUACUGGCCAAGGCGUUGCGUCCGCCGCCGGAGAAAUGGCACGGGCUGGCCGACACCGAAAUUCGCUACCGCCAGCGCUACCUCGACCUGAUCGCCAGCCCGGACGUGAAGCAGGUCUUCCUCAAGCGGAGCCAGAUCAUCCGGGAAAUGCGCGCUUUCCUCAAUGAGCGCGGCUACGUCGAGGUCGAGACGCCCAUGAUGCAGCCGAUUCCCGGCGGCGCGGCGGCCCAGCCGUUCAAGACGUAUCACAACGCCCUCGGGUGCGAUUUCUACCUCCGCAUCGCGCUGGAGCUGGCGCUGAAGCGGCUGCUGGUUGGCGGCAUAGACAAAGUAUUCGAGAUCGGGCGCAACUUCCGCAACGAGAGC
rnacentral:rRNA from 1 species